rnacentral:rRNA from 1 species
GAGUUUGAUCCUGGCUCAGGAUGAACGCUGGCGGCGUGCCUAAUACAUGCAAGUCGAACGCUUUGUGGUUCAACUGAUUUGAAGAGCUUGCUCAGAUAUGACGAUGGACAUUGCAAAGAGUGGCGAACGGGUGAGUAACACGUGGGAAACCUACCUCUUAGCAGGGGAUAACAUUUGGAAACAGAUGCUAAUACCGUAUAACAAUGACAACCGCAUGGUUGUUAUUUAAAAGAUGGUUCUGCUAUCACUAAGAGAUGGUCCCGCGGUGCAUUAGCUAGUUGGUAAGGUAAUGGCUUACCAAGGCGAUGAUGCAUAGCCGAGUUGAGAGACUGAUCGGCCACAAUGGGACUGAGACACGGCCCAUACUCCUACGGGAGGCAGCAGUAGGGAAUCUUCCACAAUGGGCGAAAGCCUGAUGGAGCAACGCCGCGUGUGUGAUGAAGGGUUUCGGCUCGUAAAACACUGUUGUAAGAGAAGAAUGACAUUGAGAGUAACUGUUCAAUGUGUGACGGUAUCUUACCAGAAAGGAACGGCUAAAUACGUGCCAGCAGCCGCGGUAAUACGUAUGUUCCAAGCGUUAUCCGGAUUUAUUGGGCGUAAAGCGAGCGCAGACGGUUAUUUAAGUCUGAAGUGAAAGCCCUCAGCUCAACUGAGGAAUUGCUUUGGAAACUGGAUGACUUGAGUGCAGUAGAGGAAAGUGGAACUCCAUGUGUAGCGGUGAAAUGCGUAGAUAUAUGGAAGAACACCAGUGGCGAAGGCGGCUUUCUGGACUGUAACUGACGUUGAGGCUCGAAAGUGUGGGUAGCAAACAGGAUUAGAUACCCUGGUAGUCCACACCGUAAACGAUGAGUGCUAGGUGUUUGAGGGUUUCCGCCCUUAAGUGCCGCAGCUAACGCAUUAAGCACUCCGCCUGGGGAGUACGACCGCAAGGUUGAAACUCAAAGGAAUUGACGGGGACCCGCACAAGCGGUGGAGCAUGUGGUUUAAUUCGAAGCAACGCGAAGAACCUUACCAGGUCUUGACAUCCCUUGACAACUCCAGAGAUGGAGCGUUCCCUUCGGGGACAAGGUGACAGGUGGUGCAUGGUUGUCGUCAGCUCGUGUCGUGAGAUGUUGGGUUAAGUCCCGCAACGAGCGCAACCCUUAUUACUAGUUGCCAGCAUUCAGUUGGGCACUCUAGUGAGACUGCCGGUGACAAACCGGAGGAAGGUGGGGAUGACGUCAAAUCAUCAUGCCCCUUAUGACCUGGGCUACACACGUGCUACAAUGGCGUAUACAACGAGUUGCCAACCCGCGAGGGUGAGCUAAUCUCUUAAAGUACGUCUCAGUUCGGAUUGUAGGCUGCAACUCGCCUACAUGAAGUCGGAAUCGCUAGUAAUCGCGGAUCAGCACGCCGCGGUGAAUACGUUCCCGGGUCUUGUACACMCCGCCCGUCACMCCAUGAGAGUUUGUAACACCCAAAGCCGGUGGGGUAACCUUCGGGAGCC